GACGAACGCUGGCGGCGUGCUUAACACAUGCAAGUCGAACGGAAAGGCCCUGCUUUUGUGGGGUGCUCGAGUGGCGAACGGGUGAGUAACACGUGAGUAACCUGCCCUUGACUUUGGGAUAACUUCAGGAAACUGGGGCUAAUACCGGAUAUGAGCUCCUGCUGCAUGGUGGGGGUUGGAAAUUUUCGGCGGUUGGGGAUGGACCCGCGGCUGCUCAGCUUGUUGGUGGGGUAGUGGCUUGCCAAGGCUUUGUCGGGUAGCCGGCCUGAGAGGGUGACCGGCCACAUUGGGACUGAGAUACGGCCCAGCCUCCUACGGGAGGCAGCAGUGGCGGAUAUUGCACAAUGGGCGGAAGCCUGAUGCAGCAACGCCGCGUGCGGGAUGACGGCCUUCGGGUUGUAAACCGCUUUCGCCUGUGACGAAGCGUGAGUGACGGUAAUGGGUAAAGAAGCACCGGCUAACUUCGUG
rnacentral:rRNA from 1 species